ACCUUUCACCCUCAAAACCCUAUUCAUCCCCUCUCAAUAUAAAACCCUCUCCUUAUCUCUAGAUAUCAGUCAUCAGAUUCCCAAAAUCUGACCCUCGUUAAAAUUUAGGAUUUUUGGGCUCCUCAAUUAUCAUGCUUCAAACGUACACUAAUAGGCUCCACCUCCUCUCGAAGCCCAUCUGGGGUUUAAGAACCGCGGUAACAUCACCCGCGGCGCAACUUACCUUUCGUGCUCCUCUGGGAGUAACUUACGCAAAACCCCCCCUAUUCUACAG